rnacentral:lncRNA from 1 species
GGCUGGGCCGAGGGUCGCAAGCAGAGGGGACCGGCGGCUGCCAGCAAGUCCCAAGCAGAUGCCUCCGGCGGGGCAGCCGCAUUUUACAGCGCCCAUUCCGCGUACAUCGAGUAUCCAAAACGAGUAAAAUCGGUUUAUACGUUGGAAUGUAGCUUAUGAUUCCAAAAUCUCAUCUCCAGGCUGCCUAGAUCACACGGCCCCGUUUCAUUCAUUUUUACUGAAUAACGGUCGUUGGACAAUUUAGAGAAGCAGCAGAAACCACGAGAAAAACAGUGGAGUCAAACGGCGGCGCUGUUGUAGGAGCAAGGUAUACAAUGAUGAUCAAGGCAGAUGCAGCCCUUACCUUCAGGUCGUGGAGUCCGGAUACAGACUGGAGGCAGAGGCAGCUGUAAGAUGUGUGACAAAUGCUGCGCUGGAUCAGCCCAUGGUAUUAGGAGAGCAGGUAAGGAAGGGUGGGGACGGGAGCGGACAACCUGGAGGAAGAGGCAGCUAAGCAGAGUCCGGAAGGCUGAGGAGGAGUCAGCAGGUGAAAGAGAGGGAAUCAUGACAUGCCAUCUCAACUGUAGGGCACGGCUAGCUGGCUGACUUAGCUGCUGUAACACCGGAUUUUUGCAAGACUCCCUGAGUAUUUCUCGUGGACUUGCGAACAAAUCUGAGCAAGAAAACCACGUAAUUUCUUUUAUGCCCUGCCCAAGAAAGCCACCUGGAGGGGCAAGGCGACCUUAGCAGAAAGAAGCUGGAGGUGGGGGGAGAGCAGGGUGAUGUUACUCUCCGUAUGGUGGGGGGUGGACACCUCCCUGUCACAUGGCUCGUAAUAUCCAGCGGGGGAGAGGGGGUUGACUUUCCCCUACGUUAUUGGUAAUAUCACCUCCCUCUCUCCCGCUAAAUAUUAAGUACAAUAUCACAGGUGGGGCGUACACCCCCGGCGAUGUUUGAAGUAACAUCAACUUCUCCCCCUCUGGAUGUUAGAAACAAUAUCACAGGGGGGUGAACACCCCCCCUGCGAUCCUGGGAGUGACAUCAUCCUCUUUCCCCCGGAUAUUAGGAACAAUAUCACAGAAGGUGUUUACAACUUUUGCAAUGUUGGGAGUAAUAUCAUCCUCUCUCACCCUGGAUAUUCAGAACAACAUCACAUGGGAAUUGUACCCUUCUGUUUAUUGAGAGUAAUAUCAUCCUCUCCCUU